CCUACGGGAGGCAGCAGUGAGGAAUAGUGGUCAAUGGACGCAAGUCUGAACCAGCCAUGCCGCGUGCAGGAUGACGGCUCUAUGAGUUGUAAACUGCUUUUGUACGAGGGGAAACCCCGAGACGUGUAUCGGGUUGAAAGUAGCGUACGAAUAAGGAUCGGCUAACUCCGUGCCAGCAGCCGCGGUAAUACGGAGGAUCCGAGCGUUAUCCGGAUUUAUUGGGUUUAAAGGGUGCGUAGGCGGUUUGAUAAGUUAGAGGUGAAAUGUCUGGGCUCAACCCCGAAACUGCCUCUCAUACUGUUGGACUCGAGCAUAGUUGCGGUAGGCGGACUGUCUGUUGUCGCGGUG
rnacentral:rRNA from 1 species